rnacentral:rRNA from 1 species
AUUGAACGCUGGCGGUAUGCUUAACACAUGCAAGUCGAACGGUAGCAGGCCUUCGGGCGCUGACGGGUGGCGGACGGGUGAGUAACGCGUAGGAAUCUGCCUCAUAGUGGGGGACAACGUGGGGAAACUCACGCUAAUACCGCAUACGCCCUACGGGGGAAAGCGGGGGCUCUUCGGACCUCGCGCUAUGAGAUGAGCCUGCGUUAGAUUAGCUAGUUGGUAGGGUAAAGGCCUACCAAGGCGACGAUCUAUAGCUGGUCUGAGAGGACGAUCAGCCACACUGGGACUGAGACACGGCCCAGACUGCUACGGGAGGCAGCAGUGGGGAAUAUUGGACAAUGGGCGCAAGCCUGAUCCAGCAAUACCGCGUGUGUGAAGAAGGCCUUAGGGUUGUAAAGCACUUUCAAUUGGGAGGAAGGGUGGGGUUCGAAUAGGGCCUAGCCUUGACAUUACCCACGGAAUAAGCACCGGCUAACUCCGUGCCAGCCGCCGCGUAACAC